AACGAACGCUGGCGGCAUGCCUAACACAUGCCAGUCGAACGAGACCUUCGGGUCUAGUGGCGCACGGGCGCGUAACGCGUGGGAACCUGCCCUUAGGUUCGGAAUAACUCCCCGAAAGGGGUGCUAAUACCGGAUAAUGUCUUCGGACCAAAGAUUUAUCGCCUUUGGAUGGGCCCGCGUUGGAUUAGCUAGUUGGUAGGGUAAAAGCCUACCAAGGCGACGAUCCAUAGCUGGUCUGAGAGGAUGAUCAGCCACACUGGGACUGAGACACGGCCCAGACUCCUACGGGAGGCAGCAGUGGGGAAUAUUGGACAAUGGGCGAAAGCCUGAUCCAGCAAUGCCGCGUGAGUGAUGAAGGCCUUAGGGUUGUAAAGCUCUUUUACCCGGGAUGAUAAUGACAGUACCGGGAGAAUAAGCUCCGGCUAACUCCGUG
rnacentral:rRNA from 1 species